GGGUCUUCUCAUCGGGUCUGAUGAACGCGACAACCGCCAGAUUAACAUCAAUAAUUAUUACGGACCGGACGGGGGACGGGUCAAUGGACAACAG